rnacentral:rRNA from 1 species
CGCAUCUGUGCAUGCAGCAUAUCAAUAAGCGGAGGAAAAGACUGCGGAACUGAACGACCGCUACCUACGCUUAGGAUGUUGACGAGACUGUCGAUCUCAUCUAUACAUGACUCUGUGCAUAUCAAUAAGCGGAGGAAAAGAAACUAACAAGGAUUCCCUAGUAACGGCGAGUGAAGCGGGAAGAGCUCAAAUUUGAAAUCUUAAAGGGUUCUACCUUUAACGAAUUGUAGUUUAAAGAAGUGUUUUCUGUUAGAGUUUGAGUAGCAAAAGUUCCUUUGGAAUAGGGACAUCAUAGAGGGUGAGAAUCCCGUAUUUGACCUUCACUUUCAACUUUGUGAUACACUUUCAAAGAGUCGGAUUGUUUGGGAAUGCAGUCCAAAAUGGGUGGUAAAUUUCAUCUAAAGCUAAAUAUUGGCGAGAGACCGAUAGCGAACAAGUACCGUGAGGGAAAGACGAAAAGAACUUUGAAAAGAGAGUUAAACAGUACGUGAAAUUGUCAAAAGGGAAGCGUUUGACACCAGUGUUGUUUUUCUGAAAAUCAAUUAAAGAACUGUUUAUGCUAAGCUGUUUAGACUUUAUCAGCUAACUGUUCAGUUUUGAGCUUUUCUUUAAUGCACUUUUCAGUUAACAAGUCAACAUCAAUUUCUUUUGCUGUAAAAAAGCUUGAGGAAGGUGGCUUGAGAUUCGUCUUAAGUGUUUAUAGCCUCUUGCCUAUGCAGUCGGAGAGAUUGAGGUCUGCAGCGUAGAUCCUUCGGGGCUAAAUGCAUUUGUGCUAAGUUAUAGCAUUUUAUAGACAACUUGUUGACUAUGAUUUGUCUUGUAGCUUACUCGCUUAUGUUAUUUUACCUACGCUUAGGAUGUUGAGCGCAUGUCUCUCUCU